GGGGGGGGGGGGGGGGGGGGGGGGGGGAUGGAAGGGGAGCGAGGGGGGGAGGGGCGUGGUCCUCGGACGUGGGCGGCGGAGGGGUGAGUGACACGGGGAGGACCGAGCGAUAAGACUGGGGGGACGUCGGGAAACCGGAGCUAAUAGCGGAUACGAUAUUGAAGCGCAGGGGGCACUAGGGAGAGCCGGUGUUGCGGGCACUUGUAUAGGGAGCCUCGCCGCAUUAGCGAGUUGGUAAGGUAACGGCUUACCAAGGCAACGAUGCGUAGCCGACCUGAGAGGGUGAGCGGCCACACUGGAUCUGAGCAACGGUCCAGACUCCUACGGGAGGCAGCAGUAGGGAAUCUUCCGCAAUGGGCGAAAGCCUGACGGAGCAACGCCGCGUGAGUGAUGAAGGUCUUCGGAUCGUAAAACUCUGUUAUUAGGGAAGAACAAAUGUGUAAGUAACUAUGCACGUCUUGACGGUACCUAAUCAGAAAGCCACGGCUAACUACGUG
rnacentral:rRNA from 1 species